rnacentral:rRNA from 1 species
AUUGAACGCUGGCGGCAGGCCUAACACAUGCAAGUCGAACGAGUGGCGGACGGGUGAGUAAUGUCUGGGAAACUGCCCGAUGGAGGGGGAUAACUACUGGAAACGGUAGCUUAUACCGCAUACCAUGGGAUGUGCCCAGAUGGGAUGAGCUUGUAGGUGGGGUAACGGCUCACCUAGGCGACGAUCCCUAGCGGGUCUGAGAGGAUGACAGGCCACACUGGAAAUGAGACACGGCCCAGACUCCUACGGGAGGCAGCAGUGGGGAAUAUUGCACAAUGGGCGCAAGCCUGAUGCAGCCAUGCCGCGUGUAUGAAGAAGGCCUUAGGGUUGUAAAGUACUUUCAGCGGGGAGGCGUUACUCACAGAAGAAGCACCGGCUAACUCCGUGCCAGCAGCCGCGGUAAUUC